GUCUAUGGCCAUACCACCCUGAAUGCGCCCGAUCUCCGUCUGAUCUCGGGAAGAAAUGAAAAGUGAGAGUUACAGCCAUAGAUC
rnacentral:rRNA from 1 species